rnacentral:rRNA from 1 species
UACGGAGGGUGCAAGCGUUAUCCGGAUUCACUGGGUUUAAAGGGUGCGUAGGAGGGCAGGGAAGUCCGUGGUGAAAUCCUAGAGCUUAACUCUAGAACUGCCGUGGAUACUCUCUGUCUUGAAUCCCGUGGAGAUGAGCGGAAUAUGUCAUGUAGCGGUGAAAUGCUUAGAUAUGACAUAGAACACCAAUUGCGAAGGCAGCUCGUUACACGAAGAUUGACUCUGAGGCACGAAAGCGUGGGGAGUCAAACAGG